rnacentral:tRNA from 1 species
CGGCCCGUAGGCCCGCACCGGGUAGGGGAACCCGGCUUCGAGCGCCGGGUCGACCCCGGCGGCCUCCAGCGGGUCGCGGUCCCAGCCGGCGUCCGGCCGG